UACAGAGGUGGCAAGCGUUGUUCGGAAUUACUGGGCGUAAAGGGCGCGUAGGCGGUUCGUUAAGUCCUGUGUGAAAUCCCCCGGCUCAACUGGGGAACUGCACAGGAAACUAGCGGGCUUGAGUUCGGGAGAGGGAAGCGGAAUUCCGGGUGUAGCGGGUGAAAUGCGUAGAUAUCUGGAGGAACACCGGUGGCGAAAGCGGCGCGCUGGACCACUACGUGACGCUGAGGAACGAAAGCUAGGG
rnacentral:rRNA from 1 species